CGCCUUUCUAAUCGCAGGAAACUUGUAGACGGUCCCUAGAUCUCAGUCGGCUUCUGAUUCGGGCCGAUGUCGCCCUCGCAUUUCCUAUUGUGUCCGUUUUCAUGUCUGGUCCGGCGCAUCCCUCCGGAUCAGAGGCGCUGAUGGACGCUGCAGUACCGAAGAGCCGCCACACGAUGUCCCAGGGAAGGUGCAGCCCACGGCACUCUGUCGGUGAAGGGACCAGGCAGAAUCAUCCUCCAGCCCAGUGACCUCUCCCGUCAGUCACUCCAGUGCAGUGAACUUGUCUCACAGUCUCUGCGGCCGUUUCACUCAUCAAAACCUCACAACUGUUGACAAUGCCACUGCCUCACAACUCAAGUUCAAUCCCAACCUUGGCUGCUGUCCGUGUGGAGUUUGCACGUUCUCCCUGUGACUGCAUGGGUUUCCUGGUGUUGGACUCUCUGUGACUGUGGGUAAGGUGCACGAGAAUGAAGGGGAAAAGGAGAUGGAAUAUCCCGAACUCACGAAAUCCAGAGCAGCACACACAAGAUGCUGGAGGAACUCUGCAGGUCUAUGGAGAGGAAUAAAGAAUAAAGAGGUUUUGGGUCGAGACCUUUCAUCAGGACUGGGAAAGGGGAAAGGAAGCCGGAAGAAAGGCUACUGUGAUGGCAUUAACCCAACUGGUUGAACAGUCUCCUCCUGUGUGAUGCCCUGAGCCUGCACCGUCCAAUGGGAAAAGAGCACCUGGAGUAUCCAAGGUGAUGACCCUUGACCCUGGUUCUUGCUCUCCCAACCCUUGUACCAGUGGGAUAAUAUGGAUCACUGGGACAUGGGAUGGAUGACAAAGAGCCGGAGGUAUUGACAAUGGCGAUUGGAGACUGCAGAGAGCAGGUUCAGAGUGGCUAAUUUGUCUGAUUUCCCGGUGCUGCCGUCACGGUACGACAUUAUGAUCAGGUUGACUGUAAAAUGUAAUGUGAAUAAAGACCUGAAUUUG